AAUCUUGUUCCACAUGUAUCAACUAUUUUUUUUUUUUAUAAGAUUCUAGAUAGUUUUAUAUAUAGAUAUAUGAUAUAAUAGGGUUAAUAAUCUUAACGCGGCUUAAAUAUUUUGGGUUGUGGUUAGACUCAAGAAGUUAAAAGAGUUAAAUAUGUUAGGACCGAAGUAGUUCUAGAAUGGAUGACCCUCUCGGAAGUUGGGGCGUCACAGUUAGUAUCAGAAUUAAUUACCAACCGAAAGGAUGAAAUGAGUCUCGCCUAAGUUAGAAUUAUACAGCGGAGAGAGCGAGGCUCUUAUACUGUUAACUGUUGUGGGUAAAGCGCGCUCCCCCAUAAGGUCGGUUUAAGCUAACGAGACGAGUCUCACAUCGUCUGGUACUUGUGAGUCUGAGGCUGACGAGAAUAUCAGGGCUUAAAGGGAAAAAAAUAUAAGACUCUAGAUAGUCCUAUAUAAAUAAUAUAAUAGGACUAAUAAUCUUAAUCUGGCUUAAAUAUUUUGGGUGAUGAUUAGGCCCAAUAAAUUAAAAGAGUUAAGCGUGUUAGGACGAAAAUAGUAUUAGCAUAGAUGAUCUCCUGAGAAGUUGGAACUUAAAAGAAU
rnacentral:lncRNA from 1 species